GCCUUCUCCCGAAGGCCGGCGGAAAGAGCCGAAGGGAGGGAGUGAGGUCGAGGCAAGGCGGAAAAAGCCGAAGGCAGAGGAGCGAGAGACGGGCAGAGACGGAAAAAGCCGAGGGUCAUUGAAGAUAUAAUGAACUAAAUUAAGAUGCGUUCACACCGCACCCUCUCGGUGGGAGUAGCGUCGAGGGGUUGCUGAAGAUCGAGCAUGGGGAAUAGAAGAUCGACAGGGCUGUAGCCAUCUGUGCAAAAUGCAAACGGCCUCAGCGCUAAUCAAGAGAACGUACUGCAUGCCCUUGUUGCGAUAAUCGUUUCCUUCAUUGGCGUCGUUUAACCCAGUGAAUAUUUGGAGUUAAAUAUAGACAUUUUCAAGUGGCUCAGACCUCUGGAAUUAAUCUUUCAGUUGAAGGGAUUUGUGCAUAUUUGGCAUUUCACAUGCAGGAAGUGUGUAAGAGAAUCUGGCCGACUGGUUCUCAAAAAUUUUCCCUGCAUUGACUUAAAGACCUGGAAGGACGAACUGUAAGGUGGUUUAGCUGAAAAGUAUAUGGGUAAGCGUGUGUGUGUAUGAGAGAAAGAGAGAGAAUGUGCCAAAAUUUCAAAUUAAUGAAUCUAUUCAAAGGAUAUAUGAAUAUUCAUUGGACUAUUUUUUUCUGUAAGCUUGAAGAUCUCCAAAAUAAAAAUUUGUAGGGUGCCUGGCUA